UACGUAGGGUGCGAGCGUUGUCCGGAAUUACUGGGCGUAAAGAGUUCGUAGGCGGUUUGUCGCGUCGUUCGUGAAAACUUGGGGCUUAACUCCAAGCGUGCGGGCGAUACGGGCAGACUUGAGUACUACAGGGGAGACUGGAAUUCCUGGUGUAGCGGUGAAAUGCGCAGAUAUCAGGAGGAACACCGGUGGCGAAGGCGGGUCUCUGGGUAGUAACUGACGCUGAGGCGCGAAAGCGUGGGGAGCAAACGGG
rnacentral:rRNA from 1 species